rnacentral:rRNA from 1 species
GUCCAUGCCGUAAACGUUGGGCACUAGGUGUGGGGACAUUCCACGUUUUCCGCGCCGUAGCUAACGCAUUAAGUGCCCCGCCUGGGGAGUACGGCCGCAAGGCUAAAACUCAAAGGAAUUGACGGGGCCCGCACAAGCGGCGGAGCAUGCGGAUUAAUUCGAUGCAACGCGAAGAACCUUACCAAGGCUUGACAUGAACCGGAAAGACCUGGAAACAGGUCCCCCGCUUGCGGUCGGUUUACAGGUGGUGCAUGGUUGUCGU